rnacentral:rRNA from 1 species
UUAAGCAUAUCAAUAAGCGGAGGAAAAGAAACUAACAAGGAUUCCCCUAGUAGCGGCGAGUGAAGCGGGAAGAGCUCAAAUUUGUAAUCUGGCGUCUUUCAGGCGUCCGAGUUGUAAUCUAUAGAAGUGUUUUCCGUGCUGGACCAUGUCCAAGUCCCUUGGAACAGGGUAUCAAAGAGGGUGACAAUCCCGUACUUGACAUGACCACCAGUGCUCUGUGAUACACUUUCUACGAGUCGAGUUGUUUGGGAAUGCAGCUCAAAAUGGGUGGUAAAUUCCAUCUAAAGCUAAAUAUUGGCGAGAGACCGAUAGCGAACAAGUACCGUGAGGGAAAGAUGAAAAGCACUUUGGAAAGAGAGUUAAACAGUACGUGAAAUUGUUGAAAGGGAAACGAUUGAAGUCAGUCGUGUUCAUUGGACUCAGCCGGUUUUCGGUGUAUUUCCUUUGAACGGGUCAACAUCAGUUUUGUCCGGUGGAUAAAGGCAGGAAGAAAGUGGCUCCCUCGGGAGUGUUAUAGCUUUCUGUCACAUACACUGGAGGAGACUGAGGACUGCAGCUCGCCUUUUGGCCGGGGUUCGCCCACGUUCGAGCUUAGGAUGUUGACAUAAUGGCUUUAAACGACCCGUCUG